AAAUUUUUUUAAGCUAAUGGCCAAGACCAAGUCAAUUUAUGAUUAUAGGUUGAGUAAAAAUCUAAGAUGGACUGAAAUUUUGCCUUUUUAUUAUUAGAAUGCAUUGCAGCGAAAAAAGUAAUUCUAACAACCAUAAUAAAAUCAUAAAUUAUCAAAAAACCUUUUAUUAACAAUACAAAGGCUAUAAUCUUGAAUAAACUUGUCAUGGGUCCAUAAGAUAGACUUUUAGUAAGAGACAAAUACUAACUGCAGCAGAUCUAGACGCCCUCGUCCUUGCUACAAAUUUAUAGUCACUAAAGCUUACAAUGAAAGGAUAAAUAUACAAAAUAAGGAAAAUAUGUCUCUCCUAGCAUAUAUUUAUAGUUCCGCCACUGAGCACUAACUUAAACUAAAGCUUGUUCAUAAUAUGUCUAUUCAAAUAAUGCAUCACUUUUAAAAAACAAACUCUAAAUCAAAUUUUUCAUAAAGAAAAGUUUUAUUGGAGUAAAGCAUCGGAACCUUGGCCAAGACUCAAAAAUUAUUACUGCACGUUUUGUUUUGUUAUUAUUAUGAAUCUUAAACUUUAAAGAUUUUUUGACACAUAUUCAGACAAUCACCUUCCCCAGCCACACAUGCAUCCCAUGCACCGCCGCCGAAGCUCCUCCUACCAGCGACGGGAAAAAAGAAAAAUAGGCAAAAAGAAAAAAGAGCAACGACGCGGCCUUCUCCAUCCUCGCCUUGCAGCCUCCGCCUGCGGGCCUUAAUCCCGCACGCCUCAGCUGCGCGCUAUCGCCGUGCCGCAGCACCUGUCCUGUGCGCACCCGCCGCCCAUACUCGCUUCCGGCCCUCCGCCCGCGGCCCUGCUCCUGCGCACCGCCGUCGUGACCUUCGAGGACGCUGCAGCGCCUGAUCAGCCACCGCCGCCGUCCGCCUGGUGCGGCCCUGCUCCUGCACGCCCGGACUGCACCGUCGCUAUCGUCCCCUUCGAGGAUGCUGCAGUGCCCGUCCAGCCACCGGCGGCAGCGGCGACGAUUCUGCUACCGACGUUUCUUCGGAUCACAGCACAGGCGGAUCUCUUCCAGCCCGCCCGCGACCCUACUCCUGCGUGUCCGGAUGAGGAGGGGAGGUAGUCUGAUUUGGAUUUCCAUUGAUACGAGACGUGAGCGAGUUGAAGCCGGUCCAGGAAGAGAGCAGACGAAAAGUAGUCGAAAUUUUGCCUCAAAACAUUUUAUAUCUAUGUCCCGGUAUUUUUUCUUAUUUUUAACGUGUUCUAAUAUGUAAAAAAAUUUUUGCAUUGGGAAUCCUAGAAAAGCUUCUAUUUUUUUCUUCUUCCCUAGCGAGGCGGACGGACGGAUUCUACGAUGGGCGGACAGAAACGCGGGACGGAGUCGGACCGAGACGGAAGGAGGCAGACAGAAAAAGUUUUUGGGCAGACUGAAAUUUUUACAAUUUAAUAGUAGGUAUAGAUAUAGAUAUAGAUAUAUAUUUUUUUGUCGAACUUUAAAUCAUU
rnacentral:lncRNA from 1 species